GGAAGUUAUUAUUAGCCAGUGGGCUAAUAGUAAAACAUGCUGAAAUACAAGGAAAGGAACAGGCAAAACUCUGAUAAUCCACAAUACCAUAGCUUUCAUGUGCUGGGGCACUGUGCCAGUGUUGCAACUGCUGCAGAAGUGAUGAAGAAAGAUGAAAGUCUAUACACGCCCUUCCAGUGUAAAAUCAAAAGGAGGAACAAAUAAGUCCAAGAAUUUCAC
rnacentral:lncRNA from 1 species